CCCAGUACAUCAAGGAUACGUAUAUCAUCUCCAGGACUUCUACAAAUUCAAGACGCGGUGAACGGGGAAUUCUGCAUACCAAAAUACAGCCACUUUCUUUCGAAACCCUGGACCUAUACGAUAUAAUUACCCUUGCUCCCAGCUCCCCCCUUCUUCCGCUCAAGCAAUCUUUCACUAAUCAACUACAUCUACUCUCCCGCGAGGACCAAAAAUUCGCAUCCUCCACUCCAACACGCGAGAUGAAACUCCCCAACCCAUCUACCAUACAUACCCCUUGUGGUUAGCUUUGCACUUCUCCGACACGAGCAGGGACUGUUUUCCCGACAAACAUAAACCUCAUGUACCGCGUAAAUCGCUUCCAGACAACACUUCCACUGGUAGGCCUGGGCAGGUAAACAAACCCCUAAGGGCUGCCUUGAAGCCAUGUUUGUCUCUUAUCUUCCUAAGGGUUAUCGACGGCUUGAGUUCGAAUUAGCAGACAGUGAUUAUCUCGUAGGCGAAGUCGCAGCCAUCCCAGCCCUUGGAUCUAUUGCUGAAUUUCGCCAGGCAUUACCAAGGCCAUCCUCAUUCAGUCGAAGAUCGCCAGGUUUCUAAGUCCGCGCUGGCAUAAUCUCGCGGCCAUGGGUGGUUCUGGACGGUCGAGCAGUCUGACUGAUCCGGAGUUUUUUCAUACUAGGUUUAAGCAAUGUUUCCUAAACUUAUAAUUUUCCUUCUGUCAGUCAUAUCGGAACCAUAUAGGUGUCUUUCAUAGGCAAAGUGGGAAGAGAUAAAGGGCGAAGCCUGGAUAUGAUAAUGCACUAGUAGAUCCUGUAGGAAGGUACAGUACAUUUUCAAGACACGCGCGCCUAUCGCUUAUUUGAUUUAUCGGGCCGCGCCGAACUUAAAUCCGAGUCUUCAUUGGCUAAACCAAAGAGGUAAUUUCGCCUCGAACGUACGAAGGUAUGGGGAAAGUUUUAAUUAAACAUUACUUUUGUUCUUUCAGUGGAUAGCUGUAUGGCCUAUUGUAUCUUAAGUAUGUUUUUGCAUGUGUAAAUAGUC
rnacentral:sRNA from 1 species